AUACCUUUCUCGGCCUUUUUGUCUAAGAUCAAGUGUAGUAUUUGUUUUUAUCAGUUGAAUAUCUGAUACGUGAGCCAUUGGCUCACAUGAUAUUAAAUUAAUUUUUUAGGGGAGGGCUCAUCACAAUAUCUUGCUAUUGGAGUCUUUCAAGCGUCGUCUUGGCGUUGCACUAUUGCCUUAGCUCAGCGCACCCCAC